ACGUUAUCUGCUAACUAUUCUGAU
rnacentral:siRNA from 1 species